UACAGAGGCCCCAAGCAUUACCCGGAAUCACUGGGCGUAAAGGGUGCGUAGGCGGUUGUGUUAGUCUUCCGUUAAAUCAUCGGGCUCAACCCGAUAAUCGCGGAGGAAACGGCACGACUCGAGGGUGCGAGAGGUGAAUGGAACUCUAGGUGUAGGGGUGAAAUCCGUUGAUAUCUAGGGGAACACCAAAAGCGAAGGCAAUUCACUGGCGCACAUCUGACGCUGAGGCACGAAAGCGUGGGUAGCGAACGGG
rnacentral:misc_RNA from 1 species